rnacentral:rRNA from 1 species
GACAGAGGGUGCAACCGUUGUUCGGAAUUACUGGGCGUAAAGCGCGUGUAGGCGGCUCUGCAAGUCAGGUGUGAAAUCCCACGGCUCAACCAUGGAAGUGCACUUGAAACUGCAGGGCUAGAGUCCUGGAGAGGAAGGUGGAAUGCUUGGUGUAGAGGUGAAAUUCGUAGAUAUCAAGCGGAACACCGGUGGCGAAGGCGGUCUUCUGGACAGUGACUGACGCUGAGACGCGAAAGCGUGGGGAGCAAACAGG